GACGAACGCUGGCGGCGUGCUUAACACAUGCAAGUCGAGCGGUAAGGCCCUUUCGGGGGUACACGAGCGGCGAACGGGUGAGUAACACGUGAGCAACCUGCCCUUCACUUUGGAAUAAGCGUUGGAAACGACGUCUAAUGCCGAAUAUGACCCCCUGUCGCAUGGUGGGGGGUGGAAAGCUCUGGCGGAGAAGGAUGGGCUCGCGGCCUAUCAGCUUGUUGGUGUGGGUAAUGGCCCACCAAGGCGACGACGGGUAGCCGGCCUGAGAGGGUGACCGGCCACACUGGGACUGAGACACGGCCCAGACUCCUACGGGAGGCAGCAGUGGGGAAUAUUGGACAAUGGGCGAAAGCCUGAUUCAGCAACGCCGCGUGAGGGAUGACGGCCUUCGGGUUGUAAACCUCUUUCAGCAGGGACGAAGCGAGAGUGACGGUACCUGCAGAAGAAGGACCGGCCAACUACGUGCCAGCCGCCGCGGUAACAC
rnacentral:rRNA from 1 species